CCUGCCCCUCGAGGUGUUAACAGAUGUGGCUGCUGUGCCACUUGUGUCUCUAGGUGGCAGAGAGGAGAGAGAGAGGGAAAGAGGGAGAGAGGGAGAGGGGCUUGUCCAUGUCCAGUGCUCUGACCUAUGAGCAACUGGGUGAUCGAUAGCCUGGCACU
rnacentral:snoRNA from 1 species